GACGAACGCUGGCGGCGUGCUUAACACAUGCAAGUCGAACGGACAGGCCCUGCUUUUGUGGGGUGCUCGAGUGGCGAACGGGUGAGUAACACGUGAGUAACCUGCCCUUGACUUUGGGAUAACUUCAGGAAACUGGGGCUCAUACCGGAUAGGAGCUCCUGCUGCAUGGUGGGGGUUGGAAAGUUUCGGCGGUUGGGGAUGGACUCGCGGCUUAUCAGCUUGUUGGUGAGGUAGUGGCUUACCAAGGCUUUGACGGGUAGCCGGCCUGAGAGGGGGAACGGCCACAUUGGGACUGAGAUAGGGACCAGACUCCUACGGGAGGCAGCAGGCGGGAAUAUUGCAGAAUGGGGGGAAGCCAGAGACAGCAACGCCGCGUGCGGGAUGAUGGCCUUCGGGGGGUAAACAGCUUUCGACUGUGACGAGGCGGGAGUGACGGUAAUGGGUAAGAAAGCAACGGCUAACUACGUG
rnacentral:rRNA from 1 species